CAUUUUAUAACUCAAGAAAACAAGAUUAAAGUGAUAAAAUUUGUUGGGUCGGUGGAUGAAUAUUUUGGCCUCAAAUGCCAUUUUGAAAGACUGGAAGCAUAUGCAGCUCUCCACUCCCAAUUGUGUCUGAGUCUUGUAUCUCUUACUAUUUACAUUAAAAA